rnacentral:lncRNA from 10 species
CCCAGGGUGACAAAAGGCACUGAGGCAGGACCAUGGAAGCCACAUUGGGAGAAACCUGGACAAACCCACUGGGGAGAGCCAGGUGAACGGGAGUGUUAGGAAACGAGCCUAGGUCAGGUGAGCCUUGGAGGCUGGAAAGAAGGAAAGGCUGUAUUGGGUAUAGAUGGUGUCAGAGGGGGAAAGGCAUUCACCUUCCCCCAAGAAAUCCCCAGCCUUGUCAUUACUGCUCUCUGCACAUCAGUGCCGCCUCCUGCUCUGCUAGUCUGUUCCCGGGAGCUGGAGGACUGUCUCUGUAUGCCCAGGGCCACACCAGAUGACAGACCUCAACUCUACUUGUCCCUAUGUGGAACCUUCCUCCUCUGGUGGACCUCAGACAAGCCUUGUAACCUCAGGGAGCCUCAAUCUCCUCAUCUGUCAGAGGGAAGCAAUAAGAUGAUGGUGAGAUCCAUUUCCCAGAAAACUGUUUUAAAGCAGAUGCAGAAGUGGUUUCCACGACCUUCCGAUGGUCCACACUGAUAUGGACAGACCUUAGAUGAUUCAGAGAUCAUCAGACUGAACAGUCUUUGACAUUGGCUCCUGCUCUACUGGGGAAAAAAAGGCAAGUAGGUUAGGGCCCACAUUUUUUCCCCGUCAUGCUGUCUCCCUCGCCUUCACCUUCCUGAGAAUUCCUAGAGGUCCUGGGAGAGGGUGCGAUGUGAGCUUGCUGGCACGACACACACAGCUGGAGCGGCCACGGCCCUGUGAGCUCAUUCACAAGUAUGCGCAAGUGGAUGGCACACAUGUUGCAUGUAUGCUAGCCUGCG